CAUUAAGUAUCCCACCUGGGGAGUACGCCGGCAACGGUGAAACUCAAAGGAAUUGACGGGGCCCGGCACAAGCGGAGGAACAUGUGGUUUAAUUUCGAUGAUACGCGAGGAACCUUACCCGGGCUUAAAUUGCAGACGAAUUACUUGGAAACAGGUAAGCCGCAAGGCGUCUGUGAAGGUGCUGCAUGGUUGUCGUCAGCUCGUGCCGUGAGGUGUCGGCUUAAGUGCCAUAACGAGCGCAACCCUCGUGGUCAGUUACUAACAGGUUAAGCUGAGGACUCUGGCCAGACUGCCAUCGUAAGAUGUGAGGAAGGUGGGGAUGACGUCAAAUCAGCACGGCCCUUACGUCCGGGGCUACACACGUACUACAAUGG
rnacentral:rRNA from 1 species